ACCAAUUUAAUUUAAUUCUAAAAUAUAAAACUCCAAAUUUUAAAAUAAAAGUACCCAGUCUUUUAAUUGGUA
rnacentral:tRNA from 1 species